rnacentral:rRNA from 1 species
AUUAGUGGCGAACGGGUGAGUAACACGUGAGUAACCUGCCCUUAACUCUGGGAUAAGCCUGGGAAACUGGGUCUAAUACCGGAUAUGACUCCUCAUCGCAUGGUGGGGGGUGGAAAGCUUUAUUGUGGUUUUGGAUGGACUCGCGGCCUAUCAGCUUGUUGGUGAGGUAAUGGCUCACCAAGGCGACGACGGGUAGCCGGCCUGAGAGGGUGACCGGCCACACUGGGACUGAGACACGGCCCAGACUCCUACGGGAGGCAGCAGUGGGGAAUAUUGCACAAUGGGCGAAAGCCUGAUGCAGCGACGCCGCGUGAGGGAUGACGGCCUUCGGGUUGUAAACCUCUUUCAGUAGGGAAGAAGCGAAAGUGACGGUACCUGCAGAAGAAGCGCCGGCUAACUACGUGCCAGCAGCCGCGGUAAUACGUAGGGCGCAAGCGUUAUCCGGAAUUAUUGGGCGUAAAGAGCUCGUAGGCGGUUUGUCGCGUCUGCCGUGAAAGUCCGGGGCUCAACUCCGGAUCUGCGGUGGGUACGGGCAGACUAGAGUGAUGUAGGGGAGACUGGAAUUCCUGGUGUAGCGGUGAAAUGCGCAGAUAUCAGGAGGAACACCGAUGGCGAAGGCAGGUCUCUGGGCAUUAACUGACGCUGAGGAGCGAAAGCAUGGGGAGCGAACAGGAUUAGAUACCCUGGUAGUCCAUGCCGUAAACGUUGGGCACUAGGUGUGGGGGACAUUCCACGUUUUCCGCGCCGUAGCUAACGCAUUAAGUGCCCCGCCUGGGGAGUACGGCCGCAAGGCUAAAACUCAAAGGAAUUGACGGGGGCCCGCACAAGCGGCGGAGCAUGCGGAUUAAUUCGAUGCAACGCGAAGAACCUUACCAAGGCUUGACAUGAACCGGAAAUACCUGGAAACAGGUGCCCCGCUUGCGGUCGGUUUACAGGUGGUGCAUGGUUGUCGUCAGCUCGUGUCGUGAGAUGUUGGGUUAAGUCCCGCAACGAGCGCAACCCUCGUUCUAUGUUGCCAGCGCGUGAUGGCGGGGACUCAUAGGAGACUGCCGGGGUCAACUCGGAGGAAGGUGGGGACGACGUCAAAUCAUCAUGCCCCUUAUGUCUUGGGCUUCACGCAUGCUACAAUGGCCGGUACAAAGGGUUGCGAUACUGUGAGGUGGAGCUAAUCCCAAAAAGCCGGUCUCAGUUCGGAUUGGGGUCUGCAACUCGACCCCAUGAAGUCGGAGUCGCUAGUAAUCGCAGAUCAGCAACGCUGCGGUGAAUACGUUCCCGGGCCUUGUACACACCGCCCGUCAAGUCACGAAAGUUGGUAACACCCGAAGCCGGUGG